UUCCUCUCGACAAAUUUGAUUGGCUGAAAAACUGGCGCCAACAAGUAGAUUUCCAUCAAAGGGAGAGCUGCCCACGGCUGAACAGGAAGAGGAAAAAUGCUUUUCCACCCGAAUUUCACCCCAAAAUUGCUGUCAUUAAUCAUUUGGCUUGAAAAAGGUGCCAAGCUGCGUGGAUGUGACGUUAAUCUUCAGAGGAAAUAUUGGCCAGAACGAGACCGAAACCCUCUAGCACAGGUGAGCCGUCUCAUCAGAAAACGCUUAGGCAGCAGACUAAAUCCCUCCCCAUAUCCUGUGCUCCUGGGCAACGUUAUGCCAAAUGGGCAGUUCUUUCUCCACUGCCGGUAAUUCAUUUGCACUUUGAUAGCAACAAGAUGCAUGCAGUGGCGGUGGCAAAAAGGGGUGGUGAAAAUUUUGUGGAUCCCUGCACUUAUAAAUCACCGAAUGAAGCAGAAGAUUCUGCGGAGCUUUCGCUGCUGUUGUGGCCUGCGACCGCGACUAAGCAGUUUAUUGAAAAGUGGACCCAAAGUGCGGAGCCAUAAAUAUCAGCUGAAGUGGGCGUGGGCACGCCCACAACCGCAUAACUCGUUUGUGUUCUUAAAGCAGUUUUAAGGCUACAAUCUCCAGACGAAAAUCAUAAUAUCAGAUACUAUGCUUUUAGAAAAUAGUUGUGAAGAGUUCUCAGGACAUAUUUUUAUUACAGCUCCCUAACUAAAUAAAUUUAAAUCACCGCAUAAUGGAAUGCAGCUCUUUAGCCCCUGGGUGUCAAGGUCAUGGCGAAUUGCAUUAAAAUUGCUCAUCAAAUAACACUCGGCAUUCCCAUUCAACAAAUUCGCAUUUUUGAUGGCAGCAUCCUUACUCUAUAUAUGAGUUGCAUUUCAUGCAUUCGCUUCGAUGGCUGCUCAACAUGCUCAGAAGCGUCCUCGAAAAACGCCAUGAACAGCAGUGGCAGGAUGUUAAGAGUCCUUCCCCAUUCAC
rnacentral:misc_RNA from 1 species